rnacentral:rRNA from 1 species
GUUGGACCUCGGAUCAGGUAGGGAUACCCGCUG